rnacentral:rRNA from 1 species
GACAGAGGAUGCAAGCGUUAUCCGGAAUGAUUGGGCGUAAAGCGUCUGUAGGUGGCUUUUUAAGUCCGCCGUCAAAUCCCAGGGCUCAACCCCUGGACAGGCGGUGGAAACUACCAAGCUGGAGUACGGUAGGGGCAGAGGGAAUUUCCGGUGGAGCGGUGAAAUGACGCAGAUAUUAGGAGGAACACCGGUGGCCGAAGGCGCUGACUCUGGGCCGAAAC